rnacentral:tRNA from 1 species
UCCCUGGGGGUCCAACAGUUAGGACUCUGUUCUUUCAUUGCAGAAGGCCCAGGUUCAAUCCCUGCUCAGGGAA